rnacentral:lncRNA from 1 species
ACGCGGACACCCAGGUACUGCAGGCAGAAGAGCGCGGCCAGCGCGCCCCAGAGGGCCGCUGUGAAGAGGCUGCAGCUGAAGUAGAGCAGGAAGCGUAUAAAGCCGUAGAGCCAGCGGGUCUUGACAUACACAUCGAAGUUGUUGUACUUGGUGCGAGCCAGGUGAGAGGUUCUCAGAGGUCCGCAGGCCGCGUGCAGGCAGGUGGUGUGCGGGCCGUGGAAGGAGCGCACCCGCCGCGGGAUGGGCAUGACCGGCAUUGGGCCUGGGCGGCAGUGCUGUUUUGCAGUGGCGGUGCGGGGUCCGGAUGGCUAGCAUAGGUGACAUCAGCGUCUAGGAGCCCUCAGUUGAGCCUUGGAGGAGGUACUGGCCUGCAGAGAGAAAUACAGAGAGUGCCAGGUUACCCCCUCACCUCCCACUGCUCUUGGAGGCACCAAGACCUCCUCUCUGGGGCUGCCUGUACGCAAAAGCAUUACUGGCUGGUCUAGGCUGGACAUAGUGCCAGAGUUCUCCAAACUGGGACACAAAGAGAGGAGAGACGGUGUGUGGGUCCCUGUUUCACCAAGC